CUGUGAGCUGGGAGUGAGAGACAACUGACACAAGAAGGACACAGAGUUUAUGUUGCAGCACCACGGCCAGCUGUUUUUAUUUUUAUAUUUUCAUCGUGAAAGGUCAACCAGUCUCUUAGCGUUGUUUUUGAGAAAUGAGAGUAGGAAAUACGUCUCUGUGAAGGAGAAGAUAAGGAUACAACCUCUAAAAUGAGUUCUCCAUCUCCUGAGUUCAGCUGUGAUCAACAGAUGAAGAAUAUCUCCACUACAUCCAAAGAUGAAGCAGGGACCGCUGAGCCCAGUGUCACCAGGAGGAGAAGACAGAGACCAGAGUCUACAAAACCCAGUAGUGUGUCUAUGAAGAGCAGCAGAUCCUUGAUGCAACCCCCUGUAUUCAGUGGUGGAACACUGACCUCUGA